UNCCGGNNGANCCNGCCGGAGGNNACCGCUUUUGGAGANCGACNAAGCCAAGCAAGNCAAANGNNCCACGNGAACAUGGCANACGGCACAGNAACACGNGGAAAACCCGCCCNAGGGACAGGGACAACCCCGGGAAACGGGGGAAAANANCGGAAAACGCAGAGGGGCGGGAAGGCGUUAUGCGUAAAACGGAUUCGUCCGCCCAAGGAUGGGUCUGCGGCCUAUCAGGUAGUAGUGGGUGUAAUGUACCUACUAGCCAACAACGGGUACGGGUUGUGAGAGCAAGAGCCCGGAGAUGGAUUCUGAGACAUGAAUCCAGGCCCUACGGGGCGCAGCAGGCGCGAAAACUUUACAAUGCGGGAAACCGUGAUAAGGGAACACCGAGUGCCAGCAUCAUAUGCUGGCUGUCCAGAUGUGUAAACUACAUCUGUUAGCAAGGGCCGGGCAAGACCGGUGCCAGCCGCCGCGGUAACACCGGCGGCCCGAGUGGUGACCGUUAUUAUUGGGUCUAAAGGGUCCGUAGCCGGUUUGGUCAGUCCUCCGGGAAAUCUGAUAGCUUAACUGUUAUGCUUUCAGAGGAUACUGCCAGGCUUGGAACCGGG
rnacentral:rRNA from 1 species